UUUGUGUACAUUAAUUUUGUAUCCAGAAAUAUUGCAGAAUUUUUGUAUCAGUUUUAGGAGCUUUUUGGAGGAGUCUUUAGAGUUUCCUAGGUAUACAAUCAUAUCAGCAAACAACGACAGUUUGGCUUCCUCUUUACUGAUUUGGAUGACCUUUAUUUCUUUCUCUUGUCUGAUUGCUCUGGCUAGGACUUUCAGGACUGUGUUGAAGAGAAGUGGUGAGAGUGGGCAUCAUUGUCUUGUUCCAGUUUUCAGAGGGAAUGCUUUCAACUUUUCCCCACUCAGUAUUAUGUUGGCUGUGGGUUUCUCAUAGAUGGCUUUGAUUACAUUGAGGUAUGUUCCUUGUAUGCCGAUUUUGCUGAGAGCUUUAAUCAUAAAGGAUGCCAGAUUUUGUUGAAUUUUUUUUUGCAUCUAUUGAGAUGAUCAUGUGAUUUUUGUUUUUAAUUCUGUUUAUGUGGUGUGUCACAUUUAUUGACUUGAGUGUGUUCAACCAUCCCUUCUUCCCUGGUAUGAAACCCACUUGAUUGUGGUGGAUUAUCUUUUUGAUAUGAUUUUGAAUGUUUCCAUCACAAAGAAAUGGUAAACGUUUGAUGUGAUGCAUAGGCUAAAUACCCUGAUUUGCUUAUUACACAUUGUAUACAUGUAUCAAAAUAUCACACUGUACUAUAUCAAUAUGUAUAAUUAUGUCAAUUAAAAUAAAUAAAAAUAGUAGCCAUGACUUUAAAUAACUUAAGAAAUAAUAUGGACCAGGGGAUGAGGAAAUAACAUGACCCAGCCCUGACCAAUCAGAGUUUCCCACACUGUACCACAUCUCCAUAACAACAGGUAUUGGUCCAAAGGUCAUCUUCUCUGGUCAUGUAUCUCCAGUACCUAGCACAAGAUGAGUUUUAUUGCAUACUUUACUUCAUUUUUAUCAUAUAUUAUUUAAAAAUGGUUCUACAAAGCUUAUAGUGAAAACUCUUAACUUUUCAGAGACAGGAAUUUUUCCCUGUCCCACAUCUCCUAAUCUGAACAGCAUGACAAAAUUUAGGACCUAUUGAUUUAAAGAAAGUUAUCCUUGGCAUUUUAGUUAGUAUAUCAAAGCAUGACUAUAAUAAUCUUAAAAGCAUAUAUUAUAAUGUGACGUCAGGACAUGUGGACAUUCUGUUGUCUGUCAUAGGCGUUUGUUCUUGCAGGCAUUAUUAAGUUGUUUGAUCAGCUGUAAACCUCUUAUGACCAUGGGUUGUGACUGGCAAGGAAUAUGCCUUGCUAGUUGAAAGAUGGAGUUGACUUUAAAAUGGUGUCACCCUGGCUCUCCUAUGCUUCUGUUUCCCCAAAAAAGCCAGGUUACUUGUCCUGUAGAAUGAUCCACAUUCUGAGUUUGGCUAAUGACAUUCUCAUGGU
rnacentral:lncRNA from 1 species